rnacentral:rRNA from 1 species
GGACACGUGGUAUCCUGUCUGAAUAUGGGGGGACCAUCCUCCAAGGCUAAAUACUCCUGACUGACCGAUAGUGAACCAGUACCGUGAGGGAAAGGCGAAAAGAACCCCGGCGAGGGGAGUGAAAAAGAACCUGAAACCGUGUACGUACAAGCAGUGGGAGCACAGGUUUACCUGUGUGACUGCGUACCUUUUGUAUAAUGGGUCAGCGACUUAUAUUCUGUAGCAAGGUUAACCGAAUAGGGGAGCCGGAGGGAAACCGAGUCUUAAUUGGGCGUUAAGUUGCAGGGUAUAGACCCGAAACCCGGUGAUCUAGCCAUGGGCAGGUUGAAGGUUGGGUAACACUAACUGGAGGACCGAACCGACUAAUGUUGAAAAAUUAGCGGAUGACCUGUGGCUGGGGGUGAAAGGCCAAUCAAACCGGGAGAUAGCUGGUUCUCCCCGAAAGCUAUUUAGGUAGCGCCUCGUGAAUUCAUCUCCGGGGGUAGAGCACUGUUUCGGCUAGGGGGCCAUCCCGGCUUACCAACCCGAUGCAAACUGCGAAUACCGGAGAAUGUUAUCACGGGAGACACACGGCGGGUGCUAACGUCCGUCGUGAAGAGGGAAACAACCCAGACCGCCAGCUAAGGUCCCAAAGUCAUGGUUAAGUGGGAAACGAUGUGGGAAGGCCCAGACAGCCAGGAUGUUGGCUUAGAAGCAGCCAUCAUUUAAAGAAAGCGUAAUAGCUCACUGGUCGAGUCGGCCUGCGCGGAAGAUGUAACGGGGCUAAACCAUGCACCGAAGCUGCGGCAGCGACACUGUGUGUUGUUGGGUAGGGGAGCGUUCUGUAAGCCUGUGAAGGUGUGUCGUGAGGC